AGGCAGCAAGCCAGACACUUUCCCUUUUCACUCAGUUCUCUCUCUCUUCACUCAGCUCUCUCUCUCUCUCUCUUCACUCAGCUCUCUCUCUCUCUCUCUCUCUCUAUCUGUCUCUCUCUCACUAUUGGCUUGGUGGCUGCUCAGAAGAGGCACUCCUCCCUCCUCGGCUUCUCACAUUGGUUUCCCCUGACAUGACACAGGCUCAGUUGAUAACUUAGAAACAGACAGGACGGGACGUCCUAUUGUGUGUCCUGUACUUGUCUUCCUCUCCGUGAGGUGCAAGGAGGCGGGUGGCUUUUUGAGUCAGUUUUUCUCCUGACAAUUCUUUGGGGAAAAGAGCAUUGUUCAUUUGAGGAUUCGUCUUGUUUUUCCUCUCAUUCUGAACUUCUGAUACUGGACUUUGCAGUAGAUGAGGUGAGAUAUCUGUAUUGUUUUGUGAUUCUUGUCACAGUAUGCCCAUCUAGACUACACUGCAGAGCUAUCAAAAACCAUGUCUGAGGGUGUCGUCAGAAAAAUCCAACCCUUUACCAUUGGGACCAGGCUGUCUGUCCCCUCCGAAGCCAAAUGCCAGGAGUUUGUGGACGUCUAUCUGCCGAAGUCUGCUGCUCCAAACAAGUUGGAGCUACAGAACAACCUACACGACCAAAUGUCCCUUUACGUGGGCCAGUCCCAGGGGUGGCCUGGGACUGGGAACUCGGAACUCCCACAAGUGGCCGCCCAGGUCUACGCUUCAACACCAGAGGGACAUCAGGAUGAGCGAGUGGAGGAGGACACGAAUUCUGUGUCCCCCACUGCAUCCUCUAGGUCCAUCAGGAAGAUUGCUAUUUGCAGGAAUGCCGAGACAGUCCCCGACGUGUCCUUGUGUGACUCUGAAAUGGCCACCUCAGUCAGUUCCACGUCGGAGACCAUCCGAAGCAACUACAACAGUGUUCACCCAAAACUGCCAUCCUUGAUAGUAGAGGACGACUUGGAUAAGAGGUUCAACUCUCAGUCUAAGAUGCUGAACGAGACUGUUUCACGCCUUUCGUACCUCCACCCUACCCUGGCUGCCAGAGUGACACGGAAGCAGGCUGAGGUGCAGGAGAGUUGGGGCCUGCUCCAGGAGGGUAGCGGGUAAAUAUGGGUCCCUAAAGCUCAUAUCGUUUCUUUGUCUGUGUCUCUAAUGCAGCGUUUCCCAAUAUCGGUCCUCGGGACCCCAAGGGGUGCACGUUUUGGUUUCUGGCCUUACACUACACAGAUGAUUAAAAUUAUCAAAGGUUGAUUAGUUGAUUAUUUGAAUCAGCUGUGUAGUGAUUGGGCAAAAAACAAAAUGUGCACCCAAGGCCCAUGCGACUCUGGUCAAAAGUAGUGCAUUAUAUAAAGAAUAGGGUGCCAUUUUGGGAUACCCUAUAAAGUCCUUAUAUUAUAUGAUCUUAUACAGUGUUUCCAAACUCCAGUCCUUGAGUACCCCCAACAGCACACAUUUGUUGUAGCCCUGGACAAAAACACCUGAUUCAACUUGAUGAUUACCUGAGAAGCAGAAUCAGGUGUGCUUGUCCAGGGCCACAACAAUGUGGAUUGUUGGGGGUACUCGGGAAACACUGAUCUAAUAUCACAUUAUCUAGGGGUGUGUUACAAGGAUGCCAGCUAUCACCGUAUCUAUAUAUUAUGGCAAUAUUUGCUAUAAAUGUAAGAUCAAAUACUAACAUUACAGGAUUUUGAGAAUGUUUGCAACGUUCACACAUGGUCCCCGUUUGGUUGGAAAAUGCUGGUUGUAACAUCAUAAUUCCUGAAACACCUGAUUUAACUGUGACAGGGCUGGCCGAUGCCCUUCACAUAAAAAAGGUUUCACUAAAAGAACUGGAAUGGUUUCUUCCAAACUUUGAUAUUUAUUUUCAAUAAAUAUAUAAAUACAAAAACAGGCUUUAAAAUGCUAAAAACAUGGACUAAAAGAUAAGCCCAAGAUAAUAAAAUAAUAAUCUUCACUGGUCUAUCCUUGCUUACCUCUCUUCCCCACUGGGGCUCUCCCACAAACAUUUAAACAUCUGUAGCUCGUUAUCUCAUUUAGUGGGAGGGGCCUACAAUUACCUCUUUAGCCAAUACCUAUUCAGACACAAACACUCAAUUACUACACACUUCACUGGUUCAGGUAAAAUGGUGGAAUGAGAUCUCAACUGUGUCAUGAUAUGAAUAAUGUAUGUUGAGCAGGAACCUGGAAUACAAUUAACAUAGAAAUAAACACUCACAAAUACUACUUCAAUUAGGGGCAAGGUUCAAAUGUUCAAGUGAGGAUGUGUUCGCAUCACUCAACUCUGUGGCUUUAUUGAAGACUGUGUAUAUUUCCCUCCUGAAACCACCGUCUGAGAACCAGGUUUCUUACCUGUAGCCUAUUUUUCAGUGGUGGAAAAAGUACCCAAUUGUCAUACUUGAGUAAAAGUAAAGAUGUCUUAACCUCUCUAGGGCAUGUGGCACCAAAUCGUCCCACCUACACAACAGCCAGUGUAAUCCCGUGGCGCGAUAUUCAAAUACCUUAGAAAUGCUAUUACUUCAAUUUCUCAAACAUAUGACUAUUUUACACCAUUUUAAAGACAAGACUCUCGUUAAUCUAACCACACUGUCCGAUUUCAAAAAGGCUUUACAACGAAAGCAAAACAUUAGAUUAUGUCAGCAGAGUACCCAGCCAGAAAUAAUCAGACACCCAUUUUUCAAGCUAGCAUAUAAUGUCACAUAAAGCCAAACCACAGCUAAAUGCAGCAUUAACCUUUGAUGAUCUUCAUCAGAUGACAACCCUAGGACAUUAUGUUAUACAAUACAUGCAUGUUUUGUUCAAUCAAGUUCAUAUUUAUAUCAAAAACCAGCUUUUUACAUUAGCAUGUGACUAGCAUGUGACUAGCAUUCCCACCGAACACUGCCGGUGAAUUUACUAAAUUACUCAUGAUAAACGUUCACAAAAAGCAUAACAAUUAUUUUAAGAAUUAUAGAUACAGAACUCCUCUAUGCACUCGAUAUGUCCGAUUUUAAAAUAGCUUUUCAGUGAAAGCACAUUUUGCAAUAUUCUCAGUAGAUAGCCCGGCAUCACAGGGCUAGCUAUUUAGACACCCAGCAAGUUUAGCACUCACCAAAGUCAGAUUUACUAUAAGAAAAAUGUUAUUACCUUUGCUGUCUUCGUCAGAAUGCACUCCCAGGACUGCUACUUCAAUAACAAAUGUUGGUUUGGUUCAAAAUAAUCCAUAGUUAUAUCCAAACAGCGGCGUUUUGUUCGUGCAUUCAAGACACUAUCCGAAAGGGUAAAUAAGGGUGACGAGCAUGGCGCAAUUCGUGACAACAUUUUUUCUAAAUAUUCCAUUACCGUACUUCGAAGCAUGUCAACCGCUGUUUAAAAUCAAUUUUUAUGCCAUUUUUCUCAUAAAAAAGCGAUAAUAUUCCGACCGGGAAUCUGCGUUUAGGUAAACAGACGAAAGAAAAUAAAG
rnacentral:lncRNA from 8 species